rnacentral:rRNA from 1 species
GGUUAAGCGACUAAGCGUACACGGUGGAUGCCCUGGCAGUCAGAGGCGAUGAAGGACGUGCUAAUCUGCGAAAAGCGUCGGUAAGGUGAUAUGAACCGUUAUAGCCGGCGAUGUCCGAAUGGGGAAACCCAGUGCAAUUCGUUGCACUAUCGUUAACUGAAUACAUAGGUUAACGAGGCGAACCGGGGGAACUGAAACAUCUAAGUACCCCGAGGAAAAGAAAUCAACCGAGAUUCCCCCAGUAGCGGCGAGCGAACGGGGAGCAGCCCAGAGUCUGAAUCAGCUUGUGUGUUAGUGGAACGGUCUGGAAAGUCCGACGGUACAGGGUGAUAGUCCCGUACACCAAAAUGCACAGGCUGUGAACUCGAAGAGUAGGGCGGGACACGUGGUAUCCUGUCUGAAUAUGGGGGGACCAUCCUCCAAGGCUAAAUACUCCUGACUGACCGAUAGUGAACCAGUACCGUGAGGGAAAGGCGAAAAGAACCCCGGCGAGGGGAGUGAAAAAGAACCUGAAACCGUGUACGUACAAGCAGUGGGAGCACCUUCGGGUGUGACUGCGUACCUUUUGUAUAAUGGGUCAGCGACUUAUAUUCUGUAGCAAGGUUAACCGUAUAGGGGAGCCGCAGGGAAACCGAGUCUUAACUGGGCGUUAAGUUGCAGGGUAUAGACCCGAAACCCGGUGAUCUAGCCAUGGGCAGGUUGAAGGUUGGGUAACACUAACUGGAGGACCGAACCGACUAAUGUUGAAAAAUUAGCGGAUGACUUGUGGCUGGGGGUGAAAGGCCAAUCAAACCGGGAGAUAGCUGGUUCUCCCCGAAAGCUAUUUAGGUAGCGCCUCGUGAACUCAUCUUCGGGGGUAGAGCACUGUUUCGGCUAGGGGGUCAUCCCGACUUACCAACCCGAUGCAAACUACGAAUACCGAAGAAUGUUAUCACGGGAGACACACGGCGGGUGCUAACGUCCGUCGUGAAGAGGGAAACAACCCAGACCGCCAGCUAAGGUCCCAAAGUCAUGGUUAAGUGGGAAACGAUGUGGGAAGGCACAGACAGCCAGGAUGUUGGCUUAGAAGCAGCCAUCAUUUAAAGAAAGCGUAAUAGCUCACUGGUCGAGUCGGCCUGCGCGGAAGAUGUAACGGGGCUAAACCAUGCACCGAAGCUGCGGCAGCGACACUAUGUGUUGUUGGGUAGGGGAGCGUUCUGUAAGCCUGCGAAGGUGGCCUGUGAGGG